UGUUGUUGUUUGGAAGGAGCUCUCACUUCCUCUCUUCACGGACCUUCCCCUAGGACUUUCCAGAGCACCAGAAGGUGCUUGAUCCAAGAGGAAGCAAGGCAGAAGCUAUUUCCAUCGCAAUGCUAGUGACACAAGUCAAGCCCAAUUGUAGGAGGCCCAACACUGAGAGCCUGGAGGAUCAGGAUGUAAAUUCGUUGCUACUGCUCCAGCACCAAGCUUGCCAUUUCCAGUGUGGCUCUCUGUCUCUGCUACCUACUUGCAGAUCUGGAUGUCAACCAUCAACUGUUGCAGUCACCAUGCCUUUGUUCCUCUAUCACUGACUGUGACCCUCUGAAACCAUAUACCCAAUUAAACACUUUCUUUUAUAUGU